rnacentral:rRNA from 1 species
UACAGAGGUCCCAAGCGUUACUGAGAAUCACUGGGUUUAAAGGGUGCGUAGGUGGUCCGUUAAGUUUGUUGUGAAAUCCCCGGGCUCAACCCGGGAAUUGCUUCGAAUACUGGCGGACUUGAGUCCUGUAGGGGUCACUGGAACAGACGGUGGAGCGGUGAAAUGCGUAGAUAUCGUCUGGAACGCCUGUGGUGAAGACGGGUGACUGGGCAGGUUCUGACACUGAGGCACGAAAGCGUGGGGAGCGAACGGG